GAACAAUGCAGUGGGGAGCAGAGCAGUGGAGAGAACUAAGGAGACUGAAUGAGUAGAGCAGUGGAAAGGAUGCAGUGUCAGGCCUCUGUUUUUAAGAGAGAGAAGAGAAAUGUGGAGAUGUAUGAAGCGGAGCCAUCAGUGUCAUCAGUGUGAUUCUCCUUAAUCAAGGGGCACAGCAGCUGCUGAAAAGUCCGACCACCUCUUCCUGUCCUGGCAUCUGAAGGACACCCGAGGGAGCAAGACGUCAGCGCCACCACAGCCGUCCGCCGCCGCCACCUUCAUCAACACUAACAUCAUCA